AUUGAACGCUGGCGGCAGGCCUAACACAUGCAAGUCGAGCGGAUGAAUGGAGCUUGCUCCUGUAUUCAGCGGCGGACGGGUGAGUAAUGCCUAGGAAUCUGCCUGGUAGUGGGGGAUAACGUCCGGAAACGGGCGCUAAUCCCGCAUACGUCCUGAUGUAGAAAGUGGGGGAUCUUCGGACCUCACGCUCUCAGAUGAGCCUAGGUCGGAUUAGCUAGUUGGUGGGGUAAAGGCCUACCAAGGCGACGAUCCGUAACUGGUCUGAGAGGAUGAUCAGGCACAAUGGAACUGAGACACGGUCCAGACUCCUACGGGAGGCAGCAGUGGGGAAUAUUGGACAAUGGGCGAAAGCCUGAUCCAGCCAUGCCGCGUGUGUGAAGAAGGUCUUCGGAUUGUAAAGCACUUUAAGUUGGGAGGAAGGGCAGUAAGUUAAUACCUGGCUGUUUUGACGUUACCAACAGAAUAAGCACCGGCUAACUUCGUG
rnacentral:rRNA from 1 species